GAGAAUGACAGCUGAAGAUAGGGAAGGAGGCCCAGCUCAUGUCGUGAGGCGAGCCUUCUGCUCAGCAGGACACUCUGGUACUUGCAAGUCCACCUGCUCUUUGCUGCCUACCACCACCAGGUCCUGAUGAAGACUGGCCGCAGCUAACUCAAAGAAUGCUUCUAACCAGGAAUGACCGGAUGAAACGAAGAAAGGAGUCUGGAUGCCAUUAAAGUGUUCAACUCUUGGAUUCCCAUGUUUUGGGAUGGAAAGCAGAAUUCGUUGAAACUGUAGUUGAAUGCCCACGCAGGAAAGCAGUGGGUGUACAUCACCAGCACCUCGCCUCUUUCAGUAAAAUCAAACUUGUCUUCUGUGUAGUCAGAUAUGGCGUGCCCAUUUCCAGCAGGGUUAGAUAUGUGCCUCGUUGGCUGCUUAUGGGACAGUCUGCAUUUUUCCCACUAUUGGGGUGAUAGAUACACACAGCAGUGGCCACACCCACCUCCAGCCAAACUGUAUAGCUCCUGACUCAGCAUCCUGGGAAUCUCCGGCCUAGCUUGUACUACAGGUGUACCCAUCCUGACUGGCACAUUCUCCAGGAGGCAGUCAGAGCCUCUGGAGAUCUGGAGGGAGUAUGGCCUGGGAGUGGGGAGGAGCAGGCUGUCACGCCUGUGGGUAGAGGUCGCAGGCUGUCAUAACUAAUGUGGACACAGUGCCCAGGGCAAGGCCUUGGAUAUCUGGAACUGGCUUUUCUUGUACUGAUCACUUUCUCAAAAGGAAAUGUUAAUUUUAAAAUGUGCUUUCUCACCACUGCCUUUCUCAGACAGGUGAAAGCGGAUUUUAAAGGACAGGACGUUGUUUCAUACCCAGGUCACAGGGAUCAUUGCAGCAGCUUCUGGAGGUGGCUCAUACCAAUUCCCUGGAGCCAACAUGGGACUCAGAGACCAGUUUUCCCCUUGGCUCUGUCGUUGCUCAGAAG
rnacentral:lncRNA from 13 species